GACGAAGGUGGCAAGCGUUGUUCGGAUUCACUGGGCGUAAAGGGCGCGUAGGCGGUUCCGAAAGUGGCAUGUGAAAUCCCCCGGCUCAACCGGGGAAGUGCGUGCCAAACUUCGGUGCUAGAGGGCGGUAGGGGGGACUGGAACUCUCGGUGGAGCGGUGAAAUGCGUAGAUAUCGAGAGGAACACCGGUGGCGAAGGCGAGUCCCUGGUCCGCAUCUGACGCUGAGGCGCGAAAGCGUGGGUAGCAAACAGG
rnacentral:rRNA from 1 species